rnacentral:rRNA from 1 species
CCUACGGGAGGCAGCAGUGAGGAAUAUUGGUCAAUGGCCGAGAGCCUGAACCAGCCAAGUCGCGUGAGGGAAGACGGCCCUACGGGUUGUAAACCUCUUUUGUCGGGGAGCAAAGCGCACCACGUGUGGUUCUUUGCGAGUACCCUAAGAAAAAGCAUCGGCUAACUCCGUGCCAGCAGCCGCGGUAAUACGGAGGAUUCGAGCGUUAUCCGGAUUUAUUGGGUUUAAAGGGUGCGCAGGCGGAGGUGCAAGUCAGCGGUAAAAUUUCGGGGCUCAACCCCGUACUGCCGUUGAAACUGCAGUCCUUGAGUGCGCGAGAAGUAGGCGGAAUGCGUGGUGUAGCGGUGAAAUGCAUAGAUAUCACGCAGAACUCCGAUUGCGAAGGCAGCAUACCGGCGCGCAACUGACGCUGAUGCACGAAAGCGUGGGUAUCGAACAGGAUCAGAUACCCUGGUAGUC